rnacentral:rRNA from 1 species
AACGAACGCUGGCGGCGCGUCUUAAGCAUACAAGUCGAACGGCAAGAGAGGAGCUUGCUUCUCUCCUAGAGUGGCGGACUGGUGAGGAACACGUGGGUAAUCUACCCUUAAGAUGGGGAUAGCUGCUAGAAAUAGCAGGUAAUACCGAAUACACUCGGCAUAUCACAAGAGGUGUUGAGGAAAGGAAGCUACGGCUUCGCUUGAGGAUGAGCUUGCGUCCCAUUAGCUAGUUGGUGAGGUAAAGGCCCACCAAGGCGACGAUGGGUAUCCGGCCUGAGAGGGUGAACGGACACAUUGGGACUGAGAUACGGCCCAAACUCCUACGGGAGGCAGCAGCUAAGAAUAUUCCGCAAUGGACGGAAGUCUGACGGAGCGACGCCGCGUGGAUGAAGAAGGCUGAAAAGUUGUAAAAUCCUUUUGUUGAUGAAGAAUAAGGGUGAGAGGGAAUGCUCAUCUGAUGACGGUAAUCGACGAAUAAGCCCCGGCUAAUUACGUG